rnacentral:rRNA from 1 species
GAUGAACGCUAGCGAUAGGCUUAACACAUGCAAGUCGAGGGGCAUCGAGGGUAGCAAUACCUGUCGGCGACCGGCGCACGGGUGAGUAACGCGUAUGUAACCUGCCCGCAACAGAGGGAUAACCCGGCGAAAGUCGGACUAAUACCUCAUAAAACAGGGGUUCCGCAUGGGGCUAUUUGUUAAAGAUUUAUUGGUUGCGGAUGGGCAUGCGUACCAUUAGGUAGUUGGUGAGGUAACGGCUCACCAAGCCAUCGAUGGUUAGGGGUUCUGAGAGGAAGGUCCCCCACACUGGUACUGAGACACGGACCAGACUCCUACGGGAGGCAGCAGUGAGGAAUAUUGGUCAAUGGGCGAGAGCCUGAACCAGCCAAGUCGCGUGAAGGAUGACUGCCCUAUGGGUUGUAAACUUCUUUUACAGGGGAAUAAAAUGAGAUACGUGUAUUUUAUUGCAUGUACCUUGUGAAUAAGCAUCG